rnacentral:rRNA from 1 species
GAUGAACGCUGGCGGCGUGCCUAAUACAUGCCAGUCGAGCGAACAGACGAGGAGCUUGCUCCUCUGACGUUAGCGGCGGACGGGUGAGUAACACGUGGAUAACCUACCUAUAAGACUGGGAUAACUUCGGGAAACCGGAGCUAAUACCGGAUAAUAUAUUGAACCGCAUGGUUCAAUAGUGAAAGACGGUUUUGCUGUCACUUAUAGAUGGAUCCGCGCCGCAUUAGCUAGUUGGUAAGGUAACGGCUUACCAAGGCAACGAUGCGUAGCCGACCUGAGAGGGUGAUCAGCCACACUGGAACUGAGACACGGUCCAGACUCCUACGGGAGGCAGCAGUAGGGAAUCUUCCGCAAUGGGCGAAAGCCUGACGGAGCAACGCCGCGUGGGUGAUGAAGGUCUUCGGAUCGUAAAACUCUGUUAUUAGGGAAGAACAAAUGUGUAAGUAACUAUGCACGUCUUGACGGUACCUAAUCAGAAAGCCACGGCUAACUACGUG